AAACCCUGUUUUGAGAUCUGGAAUAUUGACUGUCUUUCACUCUCCUUGGACCCUAGGGCUACAGAACUGGCUACCCUUAUCGAUACCCUGCUCUGAGAGAGAAGUCUAAAAAAUACAGCGAUGUGGAGGUUCCUGCUAGUGUCACAGGUUACUCCUUUGCUAGUGACGGUGAUUCGGACUGGUCUUUAUGUGGCUGCAUCCUGCUCCCAUGGCGACUCUGCUGAGUGACCCAGAUUAGAUGUGGUCAUUGGUUCAGU
rnacentral:lncRNA from 1 species